rnacentral:rRNA from 1 species
AGCUCUAAUAGCGUAUAUUAAAGUUGUUGCAGUUAAAAAGCUCGUAGUUGCAUUUCCGAGGCAAGGGAUUAGUCCGACCUUUGGUGGGUAUUUAAUCCUCUUGCCUCGUCCUUGAGUGGUGCUUCUUGGUAUUAAGUUAUCGAGGAGAUAGCCGCUCAUCGUUUACUGUGAGAAAAUUAGAGUGUUCAAAGCAGGCUUAUGCCGUUGAAUAUAUUAGCAUGGAAUAAUAAGAUAGGACCUCGGUACUAUUUUGUUGGUUUGAGAACCAAGGUAAUGAUGAAUAGGGACAGUUGGGGGUAUUCGUAUUCAGUUGUCAGAGGUGAAAUUCUUAGAUUUACGGAAGACGAACUACUGCGAAAGCAUUUACCAAGGAUGUUUUCA